UGAGAAAAGAGGAACAGGAGGAAGAGGAAGAAGUAAAAGAACCCUUGCCAGACUCAUUGGAUGAGGACCAUAAAACUUCCUGCAGUCAGUGUGAACUGCCUGUUGUCCACCAUCAUCCCCAAAAUAGUGCUGACCUGUUGGGUGAACGUGAAGUCACUUCUUCUCUGGUUGCAACUCAAUAUAAUGAUGAUGAGAAUGAUGAAGAAGAAUGACAGUCACUGGAUUCCAGUCUCAACAGUGCACUGCAGGAGAAGAAAGAGAAUAAAGUCCUGCCAAAUGAACAGUAUUAUGUACCCUCUGGUCAUCCUGAUUCUUCUGACUCACAAGAAGGUCUCAGAAGUACAGACUUCCCAUUAGAUGAGCCUAGAGUCAGCCCUGCUGGAAGCAAACUGAACUUGGAUGCUUGCCUUGGGAAGAAGAACCCUCCCAAGCUGGAGUGUGAUGCUCUUGAAGGCUCAACUGCUAACAAACAUGGGUUUCGAGUGUCUGGCUUCAUUGAUGCCACAACUGUGCUGAGACAGAUGAUUCUACAAAGAAAGCUAUGGUUUAGCAUGUGGAAAAUAGCAUGCUGAUUCCCUGGCCUUCAGCCUUCUGGUACAGCAGUGAUUAUAUCUGUGGAUCUGGGCGUCACUUACUCCAUCUCAUGCUGUGACUUUUCUACAUUUUUUUUCUAAGAGCUGAUGGAGCUUCUUUCUGUCUGGUUUUACCUCUAUCUUCCUUGAGUUGCUGCCCUGCCAUGCCCUUUAAUCUGCAUCUCUUGUUUGCACUUGGAGUCUCUGCUUUAUGUCCUUUAGCACCCAGAGGGAAGCUCAGUCAGGUUAGGGUUGGAUACCUCUUAGGAGCAUCUUCUAAAUACGUGCUGCCCUCCCUGAAAUCACAUACUUCCUGGGCUUUUUGGUCUUCUUUUCCAGCUUCCUUGACUCCACUGCCUCUUUCUUCUAGGAGCAUGGCCUUCAUAAGUCACUGCCACAAGGCUCCUUCUCUUGGGCUUGCCUUGAGAAACAAGAUUGAGUCAACCUGGACUGUUCUCUUGGACAUGCAAAUGAAAAGUGUUAAAAUUGAUGAGAAAGACCCCUGAUUACAAACACUAAAUUACAAACUGGGCUCUAGGUGAGAGAAGCAUGCUGGCCUGAGGCACAAUUUGUCUUCAGAGUUUUCCAGGACUCAGUGUCUAAAGAUCAUGGGCUCAUUUAAGCUGACAUUAACUAGAGGACAUUAGAUGGCAUUAUAAAAUGGAUAUCAGUUUAGUAACAGACCCCAGAGUGGUGCUUCAAACAGCUCAGAUCCUGAGGCUCUGUGUUCUCCCUUUUUAUUCCUGUUUCCACCUCUGCAUGCCCAGUUAAGAGUUGAAAAUGCAACUUUAUUGAAUCUUGAAGUCUUAGAAUAUCAGACUUUGUUAUUGACAAAAGUAAGUUUGAGGACUGGCUCAAAACCCAAUAUUAUUGUCAAGAACACAGGACACUUGUUGCCUCAGUCCUGUCCAAAUGAUAAAAGAGGGAUUUAUGUGCAAUUUUCAGAUAGAAGAGAUCCACCUAUAGUGCCAAGAGUGAAAGAGCCAACCAUGAAAGUGAUGGGGAGAUGAAAGGACAUGAUGGGAGUCGGGGUCCAUUCACUAUAUCUAAAUGAUGCUUCCAUGCAAUAGGUACCUUAAGCUGUUCCUUAAGAUGAAUGUGAGAGCACACCUGGGAUUCUCAAGCAAGUGGUCUGGGAUAUAAUUUGGGCAUCAGCAUUUUCAGAAGCUCUCAGAUAAUUUUAGCAAUGAGAAGAGCAUGGGGUAUACAAUGAUCUCAGAUUACCAACAUGGAAAUCCUCCACACAUGUGGUUUACUGCAUAGAAAAGGCCGAGCGUCCAUCAGCCAUUGAGAAAAGGUGGAUUUGCCUCUCAUGAAGACUCGUUUUAUAUCACAGAAAAAAAUUUCAAAAGAAAACAUGCAGCUUCAUGGCUUAGAUCUGUAUCCUCUCUGUUGAAGCACCCAUGUGUAACUUGUUUCAAAUACAAAAUAAAUAAUAGUUACAUUAAAA